rnacentral:rRNA from 1 species
UACGGAGGGGGCGAGCGUUGUCCGAAGUUACUGGGCGUAAAGCGCGUGUAGGCGGGUUGCCAAGUCCGCUGUGAAAGCCCGAGGCUCAACCUCGGAGGGUCGGUGGAUACUGGCAGUCUUGAAGGUGCUAGGGGGAGAUGGAAUUACCGGUGUAGCGGUGAAAUGCGUAGAGAUCGGUAGGAACACCAGUGGCGAAGGCGGUCUCCUGGGGCAUUCUUGACGCUGAGACGCGAAAGCUGGGGGAGCGAACGGG